GCAUGCAGCCGUCGUCAGAUGCCGCCCUCAUCCUCCUCGCCCUCCUCGUGAUCGACAAGUGCGAGUGCUGGCCGAUCGAGGAGGUGGGCGCGGGCUGGGCCGGCUGCUACCCC
rnacentral:snRNA from 1 species